CCUGUGUGUUCUCGGUGACCUGGAGGGGACCUAGCCAAGUCUCUCCUUAGCAGUUACCAAGCUAUUCUGUCUCUCAUACCAUGGUGCUCUGGGAGGAGAGGGCAGCUCUUGGAGGACGCUAGUCGUGAGGAAGCCUCUUGCACAACCACAACUCACUUGACUACUCCGAUCCCAAAUUCUGCUGUUUUUAAAAUAGGCAGUAGACUGGCAGCUGGGACGUGUGAGAGCAGAGGAGGGAUUGUUUUCAGGAUGAGGACGUGUGAGGAAGGAAGAAGAGACUGAGGAUGCAGAUAGAAUGGAAGAAAAUGACAGGCAAUUAAACGUCUGUAGAUGAGUGGAUACAGCUUUAGAGAUUGAAGGUCGCCUGCUGGGUGGAGUGAUGGAAGGAAACACCACAUUCACAUACGCCAGGAUUACAAAUCCAACCAUACACUCCUCCUCCCUUGCCCCAUGUUAAAUUUGCAUUUAAUACACAUUUUUAGCCUCUCCAUGUGUAAACUUUCACACAGCUCUGUACUAUACCUUUAUGGCCUCAUCCACUGUUUCCAUCUCCCAGAACCUCUGGUCUGGUUUUGGGGGAGAAAGCCUAUAAAAUAAAACUUGUGCAAUCAUACAAA